rnacentral:tRNA from 1 species
UCGGGAUAGCUCANUUGGUAGAGCAAAGGACUGAAAAUCC